ensembl:snoRNA SNORD115 Small nucleolar RNA SNORD115
GGGUCAAUGAUGAGAACUCAUAUGGACUCAAAGAGAGAUGAUGACCUAAAAAUUAUGCUAAAUAGGAUUACGCUGAGGCCA